rnacentral:rRNA from 1 species
GUGAGGAAUAUUGCGCAAUGGGCGAAAGCCUGACGCAGCGACGCCGCGUGGGGGAUGAAGGUUCUCGGAUUGUAAACCCCUUUUGUGAGGAAAGAGAAAGUGGGUAACCACUUAGACGGUACCUCAAGAAAAAGCCACGGCUAACUUCGUGCCAGCAGCCGCGGUAAUACGAAGGUGGCGAGCGUUGUUCGGAUUUACUGGGCGUAAAGAGCACGUAGGCGGUUGGGUAAGCCUCUUGGGAAAGCUCCCGGCUUAACCGGGAAAGGUCGAGAGGAACUACUCAGCUAGAGGACGGGAGAGGAGCGCGGAAUUCCCGGUGUAGCGGUGAAAUGCGUAGAUAUCGGGAAGAAGGCCGGUGGCGAAGGCGGCGCUCUGGAACGUACCUGACGCUGAGGUGCGAAAGCGUGGGGAGCAAACAGG